UGGGGAAUCUUGCGCAAUGGGCGAAAGCCUGACGCAGCAACGCCGCGUGACUGAUGAAGCUUCUAGGAGUGUAAAGGUCUGUCGUGAGGGAAGAACAGUAUCCAUGUAAAUAGCAUGGGCAUUUGACGGUACCUCACAAGAAAGCACCGGCUAACUUCGUGCCAGCAGCCGCGGUAAUACGAGGGGUGCUAGCGUUGUCCGGAAUCACUGGGCGUAAAGGGCGCGUAGGCGUCUUAGCAAGCCUUGAUUGAAAUCCCCCGGCUCAACCGGGGAACUGGUCAGGGAACUGCUAGGAUAGAGUUUGGUAGGGGAGAGCGGAAUUCCUGGUGUAGCGGUGAUAUGCGUAGAUAUCAGGAGGAACACCGAAAGCGAAGGCAGCUCUCUGGGCCAAUACUGACGCUGAGGCGCGAAAGCGUGGGGAGCAAACAGG
rnacentral:rRNA from 1 species